rnacentral:tRNA from 1 species
GCUCGCAUAGCUCAGUCGGUAGAGCGCAUCCAUGGUAAGGAUGAGGUCAUCGGUUCAAUCCCGGUUGCGAGCUCCA